rnacentral:tRNA from 1 species
GAGGGUAUAGCUCAGAGGCAGAGCACAUGCUUAGCAUGCAUGAGGUCCUGGGUUCAAUCCCCAGUACCUCCA